UACGAAGGGUGCAAGCGUUAAUCGGAAUUACUGGGCGUAAAGGGCGCGUAGGCGGCCUUCUAAGUCAGACGUGAAAUCCCCCGGCUUAACCUGGGAACUGCGUCUGAUACUGGGAGGCUCGAGUAUGGGAGAGGGAUGUAGAAUUCCAGGUGUAGCGGUGAAAUGCGUAGAGAUGUGGAGGAAUACCGAUGGCGAAGGCAGCCCCCUGGGAUGAUACCGACGCUCAUGCACGAAAGCGUGGGGAGCAAACAGG
rnacentral:rRNA from 1 species